rnacentral:tRNA from 2 species
GCCGGGGUGGCGGAAUCGGCAGACGCAACGGACUUAAAAUCCGUCGGAGGGUGACCUCCGUGCCCGUUCGACUCGGGUCCCCGGCACCA